GGUAGAGCUCAGUUGGUAGAGUGUUUGCCUAGCAUGCACAAGGCCCUGGGUUCAAUCCCCAGCACCA
rnacentral:tRNA from 1 species